GUGGUUGUGGUGCCUAGAGUGUCCUUUUAAUAGGGCCGUUUGAAAAAUAAAUGCUAGUUAUAAGGCUGGAUUUGUUGCAUGUUUUAUUGGGAAUUUACAGCAUGACAAUGUGACAAUCACAAGCGUAUGUGGCCCUGAAACUGAGGAUUUUGUUACGAAACUGUAAAAGCUAGGAGCUUUAAUGCAUGACAUUUAAAGUGAACAUGUGACAAGCCAUUCUAAAGGCAGCCAUUACUGUGGCAACAACAAAGCAGCUCAGACUACACCACAUCCCUUCUCGCAAAAAAAAAAAACCCCAACAACAACAACAAUAAUCAUACACAUUACAGUAAUACGUGACAGUAUUUAAGUAAUAAAAAUGAUAGUGAUAAUAAAUGAAAGUAUGUUUAUAUUUUCUGGAGCCAUACAUCAUAUGUACUAUAUAAUCAUUUCUAAGAUCAUCUUGAACCUAAAAUUAGAUUAUAACAAUACUGCCAAUAAAUGUAUAUUAUUACUAUUAUCUAACUAAAUUACAAUAAUUUUAUCUGCAAUUGCCACUUGGAAGUGUC